rnacentral:rRNA from 1 species
GAUGAACGCUGGCGGCGUGCUUAACACAUGCAAGUCGAACGCUGAAGCUCCCAGCUUGCUGGGGGUGGAUGAGUGGCGAACGGGUGAGUAUCACGUGAGGAACCUGCCCUGAACUGUGGGAUAAGCCUGGGAAACUGGGUCUAAUACUACAUAGGACGCUCCAUCGCAUGGUGGGGUGUGGAAAGCUUUUGCGGUUUGGGAUGGUCUCGCGGCCUAUCAGCUUGUUGGUGGGGUAAUGGCCUACCAAGGCUUUGACGGGUAGCCGGCCUGAGAGGGUGACCGGCCACACUGGGACUGAGACACGGCCCAGACUCCUACGGGAGGCAGCAGUGGGGGAUAUUGCACAAUGGGGGAAACCCUGAUGCAGCGACGCCGCGUGAGGGAUGACGGCCUUCGGGUUGUAAACCUCUUUCAGUUGGGAAGAAGCCCCUUUUUGGGGUGACGGUACCUUCAGAAGAAGCACCGGCUAACUACGUGCCAGCAGCCGCGGUAAUACGUAGGGUGCGAGCGUUAUCCGGAAUUAUUGGGCGUAAAGAGCUCGUAGGCGGUUUGUCGCGUCUGCUGUGAAAGCCCAGGGCUUAACCCUGGGUUUGCAGUGGGUACGGGCAGGCUGGAGUGCAGUAGGGGAGACUGGAAUUCCUGGUGUAGCGGUGAAAUGCGCAGAUAUCAGGAGGAACACCGAUGGCGAAGGCAGGUCUCUGGGCUGUUACUGACGCUGAGGAGCGAAAGCAUGGGGAGCGAACAGG